rnacentral:lncRNA from 13 species
UGAUAGAACCAUCAGUCACGUCAGUAAUCAUACAUUGGGUUGUCUCUUCUAAAAUGCUAUAAUUUAAGUGACAGUAUACUAUAGCGGAGUUGAAAUAAAAUUUGAGCUUUGAUAAUAAUCUAGACAAUUCUCAUUUAAGCAGGUGAUGUUUCACAUCCUCCUUCUUAAUCUACUGUCUAUUUGGAGACCAUUUCCAACCACCAAGAGUAACAAGGCAACAGGAAGUUCAGAGAGCUGCUCUAAUCAUAAACUCUCCAGUGUCCAUCUGCAAUGCUGUGUAUUCACUAGACCUGAUCCUGAUCCUAUGAAAAGUCAGCAUACUGCCUAGAAAGAAAGUGCUCAUCAGUUUAACGCAAACGUCUCAGAUUGGGCAGCUACAAUUAGAGUAAAUACAACCUGAAACUGUUGUAUCCUAGAGACCAAGGCCAGCUCCCUAUGACUUUCCCUUGGUGUUGCUACAACUGCCCAAUAGGGAUGAUUACAAAUCUUGCUCCUUCCCACAAAAAGGCUUUUAUGAACUAUAAUGAUAAAAUAUUGACAAAGCAUUUUUGAAUUUGUGGUUCAGAUAUUCCUGGAAUAUCUCAAUGAAUUCAGAGUUUUGGGUUUAAAGAUCAAAGAAUGGGGUCUAAUAAAUGAUGUAUUUCAGUUUAAGGCUUAAAUUAU